GUGAGGAAUAUUGCGCAAUGGAGGCAACUCUGACGCAGCCAUGCCGCGUGCAGGAAGAAGGCGCUACGCGUUGUAAACUGCUUUUAACCGGGAAGAAACCCCAGGACGUGUCCUGGGUUGACGGUACCGGAGGAAUAAGCACCGGCUAACUUCGUACCAGCAGCCGCGGUAAUACGAAGGGUGCAAGCGUUAUCCGGAUUCAUUGGGUUUAAAGGGUGCGUAGGCGGAGCGUUAAGUCAGUGGUGAAAUCCUGCAGCUUAACUGUAGACUUGCCAUUGAUACUGGCGCGCUUGAGUGCGCUUGAAGUGGGCGGAAUGUGCCGUGUAGCGGUGAAAUGCUUAGAUAUGGCACAGAACACCAAUUGCGAAGGCAGCUCACUAAGGCGAUACUGACGCUGAGGCACGAAAGCGUGGGGAUCGAACAGGAUUAGAAACCCUGGUAGUCC
rnacentral:rRNA from 1 species